UCACCUAAAGGCCUUAUCCAAAUCCCUUUGGAGUCAAUGGGAGUCUUUCCAUUGACUUCAAAGUGCUUUGGAUUAGGCCAUAAAUGG
rnacentral:pre_miRNA from 1 species